ensembl:lncRNA
AUGUGCUGGAUGAGCCAUCUAAGGAAGUUCGGUUAGUCCAACUUAAUGAAGCCGAUGUCCUUCGCAUACUGGCGGAAACACUGGCGGCACAUAUUGAGGCCGUAUUUCCGGAUCAGACGGUGCCGGUUUGAGCAGACCCGGCAAGAGCGAGAACCCUGGCCGAAUUUUCUCGGAUGGCUCCAGUAGAGCUGCUGGUGACCCAUGUUGCUUUCUUGGCUGCAACGAGGUGACUGUCUUUUUCCCGGUAUCUUUCUUACUAAGCUUGUUAACUUGAAUAUUUCCCUGAUGGUUGAAGAUGGAAUCUACUGAGGAAGGAAAGCCUAGGUCUUCAGCACCACAUGUGCCAGCCCAGAAGCAGCAGUGUGAAAACCUCUAUAACAUCUGGAGUCCCCUAAAAAUUAAGGAGACUUUGAUUUGGACAUUCUCAGUAGGAAUGGUUAAAGGCUAAUGGGACCAUAGAGAGAUGUCAGAUGCUUGAUAGAUCCUGUAGUUCAACUUGAUUCCUAGAGAGAAGCUGUUCAUAUGAUAUCAGAAAAAUGAAAUUUCAGGAAACUAGACUGGAGUCUCACUUCUUUCCCAGACCGGAACUCUUGGGAGCUGUAAUCCUGGAUAUACAGUAAAUAAUAAUAGCGUUUUUGUUUUAUGUAUGAAGGUGGAUGAUUCUUCAAAUUAAAGGUGGACACUGACUUUUCUCACCAGAAAUGGUUUAUAAGAAAUCAACUUGCAAAAAUUUAGAGGCAAUAAAAGAAAGAGUAAAAUAUUUUCUUCUAUCAUUGUUUGAUUCUUUGCUAGAUUGUAAGCUCCAUGAAAGCAGGAUAACUUGCUUAUCUGCAAUGCCUGACCCAGAAUAGAUACUCAAGAAAUACUUGAAGUUAAUUAAAAUUUCCAUAGAAUUUUUUUUUUAAUCUCUGGAAAUGAUAACCAUUUUAAUGGCAUUUCAACAAGAUUACAUGGAAUACUUGGGACUUAAAUUUUGACUUGAUAAACUAUGUGGAUAGCAAUGAGUCUUAAUAAUAACUUCUGUUAUAAUAUGAAACCUAUUCUUUAGAAACCUAUAAUAUGAAACCUAUUCUUCUGUUAAAGCAAAUAUAAAUAUCAAAUUAGAUUUAGAGUAGAUGAUGCUGACUACCUGAGAUUCAAACAUAAUAGGAAGAUUAUUAUUUCUGAAGCUCUUAGAGAAAUGUGGUACAUAAUAUAGCCAGUAAGUACUUAUAAUAUCUAAACAAGAUCAAUAUCAAACUUCAUGGUAAAAUACCAGUUAAAUGGUAUAUGAUAAUGAAUGCACAAAUUGUGCUGUCAGAGUUUAUCCAGACUUUUUAUGUUAGGAAGAAUGGAUUGCUACUGCUACUGCUAAGUCACUUCAGUCGUGUCCGACUCUGUGCAACCCCAUAGACGGCAGCCCACCAGGCUGCCCCGUCCCUGGGAUUCUCCAGGCAAGAACACUGGAGUGGGUUGCCAUUUCCUUCUCUAAUGCAUGAAAGUGAAAGGUGAAAGAGAAGUCGCUCAGUCGUGUCCGACUCAGCGAUCCCAUGGACUGCAGCCCACCUGGCUCCUCCAUCCAUGGGAUUUUCCAGGCAAGAGUACUGGAGUGGGGUGCCAUUGCCUUCUCCAAAGAAUGGAUUAAAGAUCUGUAAAUUGAAAGCAAAACUUCAAGCCUAUAUAAAAGCAAAGAAUAUGGCACUGUGACAUUGGAUUAGCCAUAAGACAAAAGAAAAGACUGAUAAAUUUGUAUACACUAAAAUUCAAACUUAAGUUUGCAUGCCAUGUAACUGACAAAGGCUCCAUUUAAAUCAAGAAAAUGAUCAAAGGAUAUGAAUGAACAAUUCAUAGAUGAGGAUCCCUGAGUAGUCACAUGAAAAGAUGCUUAAUCUAACUACUAAUAAAAUAACUUUACAUUAAAACAACACAGAUUCCAUUUCACUGCCAUCAGAUGGGCAAAAAUUGAAACAGAACAAAUGAACUCUGACACUUAAACAUGUUGUCAAGGUUGGAGUUGCUGGUAGCAGUGAAAUUAAUUUAUUACUUUGGAGAAGGUUUGGCAACAUCAUUUUUUUUGAAGAUGAUUAUACCCAAUCUUUGGGUAUUCUUAAGGAGUUCUUGACGUGUGUACUCAAAGAAAUAGGCACAGAAAGUUUAUUGCAGUAAAAUAUUUUUAGUUGUAAAAGCCUGGAACCAAUGUCCAUUAGAAGAAUAAGUAAAUAAAUUGUGGUUUGUAGAAUUCGGCUGUUAAAAUGAAUUAAUAUAAGGUAUGUGUAUUAACUUUACACUUCAAAAAAAAAGACUUAAAAAUGGCCAACUGAUAUGUAUUGUGUGAGAUUUAGUAGUUUGAGAACAUGAAAACAAAGUUUGAUGUAUGUACAUAUUAAAAACCUGUAUGAGAAUGAUAACCCCCCAAAUCUGGCUUGUUUACCUCUGGAGAGGUAAAAGGAAAAUGGAUUGAAUAGCUGUUAACUUGUUACCUCAUUAAAAAACAUCAAACUUGAGAAGAGUUUGGGUUUAUUAGAUUGAAUAAUGGUCAUUCUCCACAUAUUUUUUAUAUGCUUAAUAUUUAAUAAUAAAAGCCCAUCUAUUUUUAGUACUUUAUUUAUUCAUUUAACAUCAAAAACAUUUUGUAUUGGGGUAUAGCCGAUUACCAAUGUGUGGUAGUUUCAGGUGAACAGUGAAGGGACUCAGCCAUAAAUAUACAUGUAUCCCCCCAAAUGCCUCCCACACAGACUGGCACAUAACAUCGAACAGAGUUCCAUGUGCUAUACGAUAGGUCUUUGUUGGUUAUCCAUUUAAACUGUAUCACUGUGUACAUGACCUUCCUAAAGUCCAUAACUAUCCCUUCCUCCCAGGAACCAUAAGUUUGAAAAACCAAUAUUUUAAAAUGCUCUUUUUGGUGGUCAGGUCUCUGUAUCCCAGCCUUAACUGAUUUCAGUGGUUUCAUCCUCAGGAGCACCUUAGAAAUGAGCCACAGAAG